rnacentral:snRNA from 14 species
UUGUUUGCUUGGUAAGGGAGAUACCGUGGAAGGUGGGUUUUCUAGGGUGAAGCCAAUCCUUCACACUCCAGAUGUGCUGAUUCCUGUAAUUUCCCAGAUGCUGUUCCCUGUAAUUUCGCAGGAAACUCAGCUGCAUAAUUUUUGGUAGCAGGAAACUUUCUGCACCUUUCCCU